rnacentral:rRNA from 1 species
GACGAACGCUGGCGGCGUGCUUAACACAUGCAAGUCGAACGAUGAACCACUUCGGUGGGGAUUAGUGGCGAACGGGUGAGUAACACGUGGGCAAUCUGCCCUGCACUCUGGGACAAGCCCUGGAAACGGGGUCUAAUACCGGAUAACACUCCUUCAGGCAUCUGGAGGGGUUGAAAGCUCCGGCGGUGCAGGAUGAGCCCGCGGCCUAUCAGCUUGUUGGUGAGGUAGUGGCNCACCAAGGCGACGACGGGUAGCCGGCCUGAGAGGGCGACCGGCCACACUGGGACUGAGACACGGCCCAGACUCCUACGGGAGGCAGCAGUGGGGAAUAUUGCACAAUGGGCGAAAGCCUGAUGCAGCGACGCCGCGUGAGGGAUGACGGCCU